GACGGGACCGCACAAGCGGUGGAUGAUGUGGUUUAAUUCGAUGCAACGCGAAAACCUUACCCACCUUUGACAUGUACGGAAGUUGCCAGAGAUGGCUUCGUGCUCGAAAGAGAGCCGUAACACAGGUGCUGCAUGGCUGUCGUCAGCUCGUGUCGUGAGAUGUUGGGUUAAGUCCCGCAACGAGCGCAACCCUUGUCAUUAGUUGCUACGAAAGGGCACUCUAAUGAGACUGCCGGUGACAAACCGGAGGAAGGUGGGGAUGACGUCAAGUCCUCAUGGCCCUUAUAGGUGGGGCUACACACGUCAUACAAUGGCUGGUACAAAGGGUUGCCAACCCGCGAGGGGGAGCCAAUCCCAUAAAGCCAGUCGUAGUCCGGAUCGCAGUCUGCAACUCGACUGCGUGAAGUCGGAAUCGCUAGUAAUCGUGGAUCAGCAUGUCACGGUGAAUACGUUCCCGGGUCUU
rnacentral:rRNA from 1 species